GGCAGGUUGAAGGUUGGGUAACACUAACUGGAGGACCGAACCGACUAAUGUUGAAAAAUUAGCGGAUGACCUGUGGCUGGGGGUGAAAGGCCAAUCAAACCGGGAGAUAGCUGGUUCUCCCCGAAAGCUAUUUAGGUAGCGCCUCGUGAAUUCAUCUCCGGGGGUAGAGCACUGUUUCGGCUAGGGGGCCAUCCCGGCUUACCAACCCGAUGCAAACUGCGAAUACCGGAGAAUGUUAUCACGGGAGACACACGGCGGGUGCUAACGUCCGUCGUGAAGAGGGAAACAACCCAGACCGCCAGCUAAGGUCCCAAAGUCAUGGUUAAGUGGGAAACGAUGUGGGAAGGCCCAGACAGCCAGGAUGUUGGCUUAGAAGCAGCCAUCAUUUAAAGAAAGCGUAAUAGCUCACUGGUCGAGUCGGCCUGCGCGGAAGAUGUAACGGGGCUAAACCAUGCACCGAAGCUGCGGCAGCGACACUAUGUGUUGUUGGGUAGGGGAGCGUUCUGUAAGCCUGCGAAGGUGGCCUGUGAGGGUUGCUGGAGGUAUCAGAAGUGCGAAUGCUGACAUAAGUAACGAUAAAGCGGGUGAAAAGCCCGCUCGCCGGAAGACCAAGGGUUCCUGUCCAACGUUAAUCGGGGCAGGGUGAGUCGACCCCUAAGGCGAGGCCGAAAGGCGUAGUCGAUGGGAAACGGGUUAAUAUUCCCGUACUUGGUGUUACUGCGAAGGGGGGACGGAGAAGGCUAUGUUGGCCGGGCGACGGUUGUCCCGGUUUAAGCGUGUAGGUGUGUGUUCCAGGUAAAUCCGGUU
rnacentral:rRNA from 1 species